ACGCUCGACACCUACGGGGGCAGCAGUCGGGAAUAUUGCGCAAUGGAGGAAACUCUGACGCAGUGACGCCGCGUGCAGGAAGAAGGUUUUCGGAUUGUAAACUGCUUUAGACAGGGAAGAAAGAAAUGACAGUACCUGUAGAAUAAGCUCCGGCUAACUACGUACCAGCAGCCGCGGUAAUCUGAGCGGGCGUGGCAAGGC
rnacentral:rRNA from 1 species